UAAGGAAUAUUGGACAAUGGAGGCAACUCUGAUCCAGCCAUGCCGCGUGAAGGAAUAAGGCCCUAUGGGUUGUAAACUUCUUUUAGACGGGACAAAACCCCUUUACGUGUAAAGGGUUGAUGGUACUGUCAGAAUAAGCAUCGGCUAACUUCGUGCCAGCAGCCGCGGUAAUACGAAGGAUGCAAGCGUUAUCCGGAAUUAUUGGGUUUAAAGGGUGCGUAGGCGGACUAAUAAGUCAGUGGUGAAAGCCUGCAGCUUAACUGCAGAAUUGCCAUUGAUACUGUUAGUCUUGAGUACAGUUGAGGUAGGCGGAAUGUGUUAUGUAGCGGUGAAAUGCUUAGAUAUGACACAGAACACCGAUUGCGAAGGCAGCUUGCUAAGCUGUAACUGACGCUGAGGCACGAAGGCGUGGGGAGCAAACA
rnacentral:rRNA from 1 species